rnacentral:rRNA from 1 species
AUGAACGCUAGCUACAGGCUUAACACAUGCAAGUCGAGGGGCAGCAUGGUCUUAGCUUGCUAAGGCUGAUGGCGACCGGCGCACGGGUGAGUAACACGUAUCCAACCUGCCGUCUACUCUUGGCCAGCCUUCUGAAAGGAAGAUUAAUCCAGGAUGGCAUCAUGAGUUCACAUGUCCGCAUGAUUAAAGGUAUUUUCCGGUAGACGAUGGGGAUGCGUUCCAUUAGAUAGUAGGCGGGGUAACGGCCCACCUAGUCAACGAUGGAUAGGGGUUCUGAGAGGAAGGUCCCCCACAUUGGAACUGAGACACGGUCCAAACUCCUACGGGAGGCAGCAGUGAGGAAUAUUGGUCAAUGGGCGAUGGCCUGAACCAGCCAAGUAGCGUGAAGGAUGACUGCCCUAUGGGUUGUAAACUUCUUUUAUAAAGGAAUAAAGUCGGGUAUGCAUACCCGUUUGCAUGUACUUUAUGAAUAAGGAUCGGCUAACUCCGUGCCAGCAGCCGCGGUAAUACGGAGGAUCCGAGCGUUAUCCGGAUUUAUUGGGUUUAAAGGGAGCGUAGAUGGAUGUUUAAGUCAGUUGUGAAAGUUUGCGGCUCAACCGUAAAAUUGCAGUUGAUACUGGAUGUCUUGAGUGCAGUUGAGGCAGGCGGAAUUCGUGGUGUAGCGGUGAAAUGCUUAGAUAUCACGAAGAACUCCGAUUGCGAAGGCAGCCUGCUAAGCUGCAACUGACAUUGAGGCUCGAAAGUGUGGGUAUCAAACAGGAUUAGAUACCCUGGUAGUCCACACGGUAAACGAUGAAUACUCGCUGUUUGCGAUAUACGGCAAGCGGCCAAGCGAAAGCGUUAAGUAUUCCACCUGGGGAGUAAGCCGGCAACGGUGAAACUCAAAGGAAUUGACGGGGGCCCGCACAAGCGGUGGAGCAUGUGGUUUAAUUCGAAGCAACGCGAAGAACCUUACCAGGCCUUGACAUCCCUUGCAGAGGUAUAGAGAUAUAUCCGAGGUUAUCAAGGAGACAGGUGGUGCAUGGUUGUCGUCAGCUCGUGCCGUGAGGUGUCGGCUUAAGUGCCAUAACGAGCGCAACCCUUGUUGUCAGUUACUAACAGGUGAUGCUGAGGACUCUGACAAGACUGCCAUCGUAAGAUGUGAGGAAGGUGGGGAUGACGUCAAAUCAGCACGGCCCUUACGUCCGGGGCUACACACGUGUUACAAUGGGGGGUACAGAGGGCCGCUACCACGCGAGUGGAUGCCAAUCCCUAAAACCCCUCUCAGUUCGGACUGGAGUCUGCAACCCGACUCCACGAAGCUGGAUUCGCUAGUAAUCGCGCAUCAGCCACGGCGCGGUGAAUACGUUCCCGGGCCUUGUACACACCGCCCGUCAAGCCAUGGGAGCCGGGGGUACCUGAAGUGCGUAACCGCGAGGAUCGUCCUAGGGUAAAACUGGUGACUGGGGCU